rnacentral:rRNA from 1 species
GAUGAACGCUCGCGGCAGGCCUAACACAUGCAAGUCGAGGGAGAAGCCCUUUCGGGGGCAGAAACCGGCGCACGGGUGCGUAACGCGUAUGCAACCUACCUUUCACAGGGGGAUAGCCCGAAGAAAUUUGGAUUAAUACCCCAUAAUAUUAUUGGAUGGCAUCAUUUGAUAAUUAAAACUGCGGUGGUGAAAGAUGGGCAUGCGUCCUAUUAGCUAGUUGGAGUGGUAACGGCACCCCAAGGCUACGAUAGGUAGGGGUCCUGAGAGGAAGAUCCCCCACACUGGUACUGAGACAGGGACCAGACUCCUACGGGAGGCAGCAGUGAGGAAUAUUGGUCAAUGGUCGGAAGACUGAACCAGCCAUGCCGCGUGCAGGAAGAAUGCCUUAUGGGUUGUAAACUGCUUUUAGAUGGGAAGAAUAAGGCGUACGUGUACGUUGAUGACGGUACCAUAUGAAUAAGCAUCGGCUAACUCCGUG